rnacentral:rRNA from 1 species
AGAGUUUGAUCCUGGCUCAGGAUGAACGCUGGCGGCGUGCCUAACACAUGCAAGUCGAACGAAGCUUUUCUGUUUGGAGAUUCGUCGAAGAAGAGAAAAUGACUUAGUGGCGGACGGGUGAGUAACGCGCGAGCAACCUGCCUUUCAGAGGGGGACAACAGCUGGAAACGGCUGCUAAUACCGCAUAAUGUCACGGGACGGCAUCGUUCUGUGACCAAAGGAGCAAUCCGCUGAAAGAUGGGCUCACGUUGGAUUAGUUAGUUGGCGGGGUAAAGGCCCACCAAGACCGCGAUCCAUAGCCGGACUGAGAGGUUGAACGGCCACAUUGGGACUGAGAUACGGCCCAGACUCCUACGGGAGGCAGCAGUGGGGAAUAUUGGGCAAUGGGCGAAAGCCUGACCCAGCAACGCCGCGUGAAGGAAGAAGGUCUUCGGAUUGUAAACUUCUUUUAUGAGGGACGAAGGAAGUGACGGUACCUCAUGAAUAAGCCAUGGCUAACUACGUGCCAGCAGCCGCGGUAAUACGUAGGUGGCGAGCGUUAUCCGGAUUUAUUGGGUUUAAAGGGUGCGUAGGCUGUGAUCCAAGUCAGGGGUGAAAGCCCGGAGCUCAACUCCGGAACUGCCUUUGAUACUGGAUUGCUGGAAUACGGAUGCCGUGGGAGGAAUGAGUAGUGUAGCGGUGAAAUGCAUAGAUAUUACUCAGAACACCGAUUGCGAAGGCAUCUCACGAAUCCGUCAUUGACGCUGAGGCACGAAAGCGUGGGGAUCAAACAGGAUUAGAUACCCUGGUAGUCCACGCAGUAAACGAUGAUAACUAACCGUCGGCGAUAGACAGUCGGUGGCCAAGCGAAAGCGAUAAGUUAUCCACCUGGGGAGUACGUUCGCAAGAAUGAAACUCAAAGGAAUUGACGGGGACCCGCACAAGCGGUGGAGCAUGUGGUUUAAUUCGACGCAACGCGAAGAACCUUACCAGGCCUUGACAUCCUGAUGACCAUUCCGGUAACGCGGAACUCUCUUCGGAGCAUCAGAGACAGGUGGUGCAUGGUUGUCGUCAGCUCGUGUCGUGAGAUGUUGGGUUAAGUCCCGCAACGAGCGCAACCCUUAUCUUUAGUAGCCAGCACGUCAUGGUGGGAACUCUAGAGGGACUGCCCGGGAUAACCGGGAGGAAGGUGGGGAUGACGUCAAAUCAUCAUGCCCCUUAUGACCAGGGCUACACACGUGCUACAAUGGUGGGUACAGAGGGCGGCUACCUGGCGACAGGAUGCAAAUCUCGAAAACCCAUCCCAGUUCGGAUCGGAGUCUGCAACUCGACUCCGUGAAGUUGGAUUCGCUAGUAAUCGCGCAUCAGCCAUGGCGCGGUGAAUACGUUCCCGGGCCUUGUACACACCGCCCGUCA